GGAGAGGUGUCCGAGUGGCCGAAGGAGCUCGAUUCGAAAUCGAGUAGACGUUAACCCGUCUCGUGGGUUCGAAUCCCACCCUCUCCGCCA
rnacentral:tRNA from 1 species